rnacentral:rRNA from 1 species
UCCAGUUUAUCCUGCUGGAGGUUGCAGCUAUUUGGCUUGGGCUUAGACAUGCAAGUCUGACGCAAGUCGGCGAACUGCUCAGUAACACGUAGCUAAUCUGCCCUUAGGUCAGGGAUACCCUCGGGAAACUGAGAUUAAUACCUGAUAAGAGAUAAGGCCUGGAAGGGUUAUUCUCUCAAACUCGUGCCUAAGGAUGAGGCUGCGGCUGAUUAGCUUGUUGGUGGGGUAAUUGCCUACCAAGGCGAUGAUCAGUAGGGGCUUUUGGCGAAGUCGCCCCGAGAGGGAAUCUGAGACACUAUUCCCAGCUCUACGGAGUGCAGCAGUCGCGAAUCUUUUGCAAUGCACGAAAGUGUGACAGAGCGAGCCAAAGUGCUUUCCGCACAGGAAAGCUUUUCUUUGCUGUAAAAAUGCAGAGGAAUAAGGACUGGGCAAGACCGGUGCCAGCCGCCGCGGUAAUCCCGGCAGUCCAAGUUGCAACCAUUUUUAUUGGGUCUAAAACAUCCGUAGCUUGCUUGAUAAGUUUCUUGUGAAAUUCCACAUCUCAAGUGUGGAGCGUGCAGGAAAUACUAUUAAGCUAGGGACCGGUAGAUGUAAGGAGUACGUCAGAGGUAGUGGUAAAAUAUGUUAAUCUUUGGCGGACUAACAAUCAGCGAAGGCACCUUACAAGGACGGAUCUGACAGUGAGGGAUGAAGGCCAGGGGCGCAAAACGGAUUAGAUACCCGUGUAGUCCUGGCAGUAAACACUGCUCACUAAACAUCGGGCCCUCUUCGGGAGGAUUCGGUGCUGAAGCGAAGGCGAAGAGUGAGCUACCUGGGAAGUAUAGUCGCAAGAUCGAAACUUAAAGGAAUUGGCGGGGAGACACUACAACGAGUGACGCGUGCGGUUCAAUUAGAUUCUACACCGUGAACCUCACCAGGAGCGACAGCAGAAUGAAGGUCAGUCUGAAGGGCUUACCUGACACGCUGAGCGGAGAUGCAUGGCCGACGUCAGCCUGUGUUGUGAGAUGACCUGUUAAAUCAGGUAACAGGCGAGACCCGUGUGUAUAAUUACUACAGAAAUGAGAACAUUAUACAGACUGCUCUGGUAACAGAGAGGAAGGUGCGGGCUACGUUAGGUGAGUACGUCCCUAAUCCCCUGGGCUACACGCGCGCGGCAAUGGUGGACUCAAUGAGAUGCGACUCUGAAAAGAGAAGCUAAUCCCCUAAUGUCCAUCCCAGUACAGAUUGAGGUUUGCAACCCAACCUCAUGACGCCGGAAUUCGUAGUAAUCGUUUGUUAGCAGCGAACGGUGAAUAUGUCCCUGUCUCUUGCACACACCGCCCGUCAAACCAACCGAGUUAUGCAGAGUUGAAGUUCAAUUGAAAAGAAAUUUUGUAUGACAAGGUAGGUUAAGUCGUCACAAGGUA